GGGGAAUUUUCCGCAUGGGCGAAAGCCUGACCGAACAACUCCCCGUGAGGGAAGAAGGGUCAAGUAAUUGGAAACCUCUUUUAUCAGGGAAGAAAAAAAUGACGGUACCCGAUGAAAAAGCAUCCGCUAACUCCGUGCCAGCAGCCCCGGUAAUACCGAAGAAGCAAGCGUUAUCCCGAAUUAUUGGGCGUAAAGCGUCCGCAGGUGGUAAUACAAGUCUGCUGUCCAAGACCAAAACUUAACUCUGGGCAGGCGGUGGAAACUGGAAUACUAAAAACCGGUAGGGGUAAAAGGAAUUCCCAGUGGAACGGUGAAAUGCCUAAAAAUUGGGAAGAACACCAGUGGCGAAAGCGCUCUACUGGGCCGGAACUGACACUAAAGGACCAAAGCUAAGGGAACGAAAGGGAUUAAAUACCCCAGUAAUC
rnacentral:rRNA from 1 species